rnacentral:lncRNA from 1 species
UUGCCGGCGGUGAUUAAUGUAUGUCUCUCUGUUUAACCACCCUUUGCUGCUUAGUUCACGACGCAUGUGUAUAUUCUUCCUCGCACUAUCUGGUUACUCCGGCAGCAGAACAUGAACAUCCAUCACCAUGGUUCUCGGCUAGGUUCUGCUCUAUAUUUGCUUUUUCAUGUACCACUCGUUCUUCGACCCAAAGAUUACAUUUGUGCUAAUAUCCUCCUAAUUCCAGUUCUGUACAGGCGGUAUUCAUACUGUUGUGGUCAAUUGAUUCGGCCAGAUCUUUGGAGAUUGGUUAUCAAAUUAUUUUUACUCUCUGGACAGGUAAUUACUUCACUUCAGCUGACAGACCUUAUCCUUCCAUGUUUUUACGGCGUACGCUUGCUUCCGUGUGAUUCAUAGUUUCAUACCAUGGUGCUAUUUACUACUGGAUGCGACAGGUGGCUUAGAACAACAUAGUGAAAUCACAAGAAAAAUGCAGCCAUGCUGCUCUAGAGGGGAGCGAAGCCUCAACGUUUUCCUGCUUCUAUCCAUAAAUGAGAAAAACCCGAAAAAUCCACGGAUACUUUGUUUCCUAAAUACACAGUGUGAAAAUUUAAAGGAAGAUCGUUUGGCCUGUAUUAGAUGCAGAAAACAGGAAAUAUUAAUGUCGCUGUUCUGAUUGCUUGCAGCGAUUGAUGUUCCAAAUUGGCAUUCUUCAUCUGAACUGAGGUAUAAGGCGAGCCUCCAAAACAAGGGAACAGUACGUUGCCGAGUAACAUGUGUGUUCAACAUCAUUUCCCCAUUAUUCAUGUUGAGGUAAUCCAGUGACUUUAACUAUGAUGACCUUCUGUUGGUAUUCUCCUGUAGGUAUCAAAGAAGUGGAAUGGUUAGCUUCUCUACUUCUUCAAGAAUUUCUGAAAGGAUAUAAUAAACAGGUGCCAUGUUAUAAACUUCUGUUAUUGAUAUCCUUGCAAUCGUUCGCAGUGUGUUAGCCACCUUAUUCUACCAAUAUAUGUUCCAGAAUUAAUUGGACCAGUUUGUGUUUAGAAGAGUGUUCCUUUCCUAUCUGAUUGACUCCAUGAAUAUUUUUAAUGAAUAAGAUAUAAACAGCAAUGUACAUUUAUCUCUGAUGUAUAUUGCCAUCCAAAUAAAGGGCUGUUAAUUUUCAAUGUUGUUUAUAC